ACAGUGCAGAAAAAUCACCUCUUUAUGAUGGUCAUCUUCUUUUACUUUGUCCUGAAUUCUUUUUAAAAGUCCUAUGUUUUUCCCUGUUAAAUUUGGUGAUCCAUCUGUGGUUACAUUUGCCAGUUUACUCCAGGGGAGCUUCAGAUGUUCAAGGUACCCAGACACCCUCUUGUAUAAAUCCGAUCCCUUAGUUGUGCCUUUCAUUGAUUCCAUUGAUAAAAAUUCCUCUGAUUUCAAAUUUGUUGUCAAUUCCUCUGACAAAAAUCAGUAACUGUGCUAUGUCCUUAAUGUCAGUGCUGUCAUCGAGAGCUAAUGAAAACAAUGUAAAGCCCUGUGCUUUCUUGUUCAACUUGGAAGCCAAAUGUUCAUCAAUCACUUCUGCACACCGUGUAACAGUUCUUUGUGACAAACUAAUGUUCCCAAAUUUGUUUUGGUAUUCCAGGCACAGCAGGCCAGAAACAUCAGCCAUGCAUUCUUUCAUAAACGCCUCUUCAGCAAAAGGCUUAUUUUGUUUAGCGAUUUUAAACACCAGAAUGUAACUUGCCUUUGUAGUGGCUUCCUGAAUUGCAGACCGUCGUACAUAAAUAUUUUGCUGAGUUUUUAAGUUUGUGCACUCAUUUUUGAAAGGGAGAAGAAAAUCCUAACUGCUGCCCUUAUUUCAAACAACUGUUUUACAAGAUGGCAGCACUGGGAAAAAACUGGGCCAUCUCUUUAGCCUGGAUUUGUCAGGUGUCAAUGCCCCUGACAAUUUUGAGCCAUGGCGCUCUAUCCUAGAAUCCAUGUGGACAAGAAGAGGCAGGUUAUGGUAACCUGUAUCUGAACUGUUAAAUGGUUAAAUUAUCCUGUGCUAAUUGCCAUGAUGUUUGGAAGAAGGAAAGUUAAGACUACCAUUUUCUCAGGCCAAAAGGCUGCAGGAAAUGCAUAAAAACCCUGGAACAUGAUUCUUCUUCAUCUCAGAUCUGCUUUGGAUUUCAAGAAGGGGAAACCUUAAGCCAUAAGGAUUGAUAUCCCCAGUCACUGACUAGA